UCCCAGACUCCUACGGGAGGCAGCAGUGGGGAAUAUUGCGCAAUGGGCGAAAGCCUGACGCAGCGACGCCGCGUGGGUGAAGAAGCGCCUCGGCGCGUAAAGCCCUGUCAGCAGGGAAGAAAAUGACGGUACCUGAAGAAGAAGCCCCGGCUAACUACGUGCCAGCAGCCGCGGUAAUACGUAGGGGGCAAGCGUUAUCCGGAUUUACUGGGUGUAAAGGGGGCGCAGACGGCGAUGCAAGCCAGGAGUGAAAGCCCGGGGCCCAACCCCGGGACUGCUCUUGGAACUGCGCGGCUGGAGUGCAGGAGGGGCAGGCGGAAUUCCUGGUGUAGCGGUGAAAUGCGUAGAUAUCAGGAGGAACACCGGUGGCGAAGGCGGCCUGCUGGACUGCGACUGACGUUGAGGCCCGAAAGCGUGGGGAGCAAACAGGAUUAGAUACCCGUGUA
rnacentral:rRNA from 1 species